GACAGAGGGUGCAAACGUUGCUCGGAAUCACUGGGCUUAAAGGGCGCGUAGGCGGGCCAUCAAGUCAGGGGUGAAAGCCCCCAGCUCAACUGGGGAAGUGCCUCUGAUACUGGUGGCCUCGAGGGAGGUAGGGGCGUGCGGAACUUCCGGUGGAGCGGUGAAAUGCGUAGAUAUCGGAAGGAACACCGGUGGCGAAAGCGGCGCGCUGGACCUCUUCUGACGCUGAGGCGCGAAAGCCAGGGGAGCGAACGGG
rnacentral:rRNA from 1 species